GCAAACGGAAGUGCGGUUUAUACUCCAGUGCGGCUUAUACUCCAGGGCGGCUUAGAUAUGGCCAAAAAACGAAAAGCUGCUGACACCCAAAAGUGCGGCUUAUAAUCAGGUGCCAGCACACCCAGAAGGAGCUGCUGGGCUGCACAACCAGGUCAAACUGUUUCCCAGCCACAACAGUUGGCAGUGGCAGCACAACUCAUUCUUGAGCACUUCAUGCAGAGGUAACCAAGAGGUUCAAAACACCCAUGGCACUGACUGAUAGUCACUGCAGGUCUUGCCGGGCCUGAGGGAUUUGUGUCUGGCCGAACUGCAAUUUUGAGACCUGAGUUCAGCGCUUUUGAGUACCACUGAAGUUUGUGAAGGAGAAGGAAAAUAAAGGAGGGUCCAUGAGGACAUGUGAGCUUGGCUUCAAGGUGCAGGUCUGUAUAGGCUUUGUAGAUAUUUCUGCAUCCACCACAAUUUAAUAAAGAAUCACCAAAAGUGAUUGCUAAUCAAUGACCAGAGGAAAUGGUCCUCAGCAAAUACACGUGGACCAAAACCAAGAGCUGAGGAAGACAUAAAAGAAAAGAAACAUAACAACCCUCACAUGUCCAAUUUGAAUUAAAAAUUAUUUUCAGAAUUCCCCAUCAGGGUCAAUACCUUGAUCCUUAUGUCUACUUCAGAAAAGACCAAUGUAUAUUAUAUACUACUUCACAUAGACCAAUGUAUAUUAUAUACUGCAGACAUAUGUCAGGCUGUGGUUUUGUCUAAUAACAUGUUUCAAAUGCCUUUAUUAAUACACAUAAGGGCAAGUCAGGAGGAAAGAUUUUUAAGCUGUUGCAGAAAGCUCUAGGAAAUAAAAUUGUAAGUAAACUUCUAAUUUUCAUGGUCUUGAUUUAUAAGAUAAUGUCUGUAACAAUAGCAAAACUCUGUGUGUGCCCAUGAACAUAAGAGUAUAAAUAAAUUAGAUUAGCAACAUCAUCUGUGAAGAAAAACCAUCUGCCUUUUAGACUUCCCUAUCUAGGUGGCAUAGUUUUAAAAUGAGUUCAUUUUUGAGAUACUGUAGUAGGUUUCCAGUAACAUGUUCUUCUCAUCCCACAUUUUCACUGCGUGCAGUUCUCAGUGACAUUCAGGGGAUCUAUCCAGUCUUCCCAAAAUUUCACUUCCACUUUCAUCACUUCUCUGCUGUGUGGUUGGCUUCCAAGGUCUCAGUCUUCUAUAAUUCAUUGAAACUUGUCCAGUGAGGCAUACCAUGUGUCUCAGGUGAACAGGCACUGUUUCCCCCAGAGUCUGUCAUCUUGGCUACAGCCCACAGGGCUGAGAACACUGUGGG